ACCAGCCACACUGGAACUGAGACACGGUCCAGACUCCUACGGGAGGCAGCAGUGGGGAAUAUUGCACAAUGGGCGCAAGCCUGAUGCAGCCAUGCCGCGUGUAUGAAGAAGGCCUUCGGGUUGUAAAGUACUUUCAGCGGGGAGGAAGGGAGUAAAGUUAAUACCUUUGCUCAUUGACGUUACCCGCAGAAGAAGCACCGGCUAACUCCGUGCCAGCAGCCGCGGUAAUACGGAGGGUGCAAGCGUUAAUCGGAAUUACUGGGCGUAAAGCGCACGCAGGCGGUUUGUUAAGUCAGAUGUGAAAUCCCCGGGCUCAACCUGGGAACUGCAUCUGAUACUGGCAAGCUUGAGUCUCGUAGAGGGGGGUAGAAUUCCAGGUGUAGCGGUGAAAUGCGUAGAGAUCUGGAGGAAUACCGG
rnacentral:rRNA from 1 species